UUACCGGCUUGACAUGUACGAAAGCCUUGAACAGGUGCUGCAUGGCUGUCGUCAGCUCGUGCCGUGAGGUGUUCGGUUAAGUCCGAUAACGAGCGCAACCCCGUCUUAGUUAUCGUCUAAGAGACUGCCGGUGAUAACCGGAGGAAGGUGGGGAUGACGUCAAGUCAGCAUGGCCUUUAUGCCGGGCUACACACACGCUACAAUGGGGUACAUGGGGCACCGCGAGGGGAGCAAUCCUCAAACCGUCUCAGUUCGGAUUGUAGGCUGCAACUCGCCUGCAUGAAGUCGGAGUUGCUAGUAAACGCGGUCAGCACAUGCGUUGAAUACGUUCCCGGGUCUUGUACACACCGCCCGUCACGUCAUGGAAGUUGGAAGCCAAA
rnacentral:rRNA from 1 species